rfam:Sphingobacterium sp. JB170 genome assembly, contig: Scaffold8
UUCUUCGUGAGGUGGAGUGUGAAGGAAACCUGGCGUAAACCUCCGCCGGACGAACAGGAACCGGAAGCGGAUCAGGCAGUUACUGAU